rnacentral:rRNA from 1 species
GCGACCCCAGGUCAAGCGGGGCUACCCGCUGAGUUUAAGCAUAUCAAUAAGCGGAGGAAAA